CACCCACUGGACAAGAUGUUUACAAGCAACCCUUGCUCAGUCUGUGCAACUUUUAUGGAAAAACCGAAUAAAUACAUGUGUUCCUGUGGAGAAGAAAUGCCUGGGGGUCAGAAAAGGGCCCUGUACAUCCAACCCUGACUUCAGACCCAGCCUUUGCUGAUUAAAAGAUAAGCGGACUACUUUCAAAGCAGUCCAAAUCAA